UUGAGAGUUUGAUCCUGGCUCAGAACGAACGCUGGCGGCAGGCCUAACACAUGCAAGUCGAACGAACCCUUCGGGGUGAGUGGCGCACGGGUGCGUAACACGUGGGAAUAUACCCUUCAGUAUGGAACAACACAGAGAAAUUUGUGCUAAUACCAUAUAAUGACUCCGGUCCAAAGAUUUAUCGCUGAAGGAUUAGCCCGCGUUUGAUUAGAUUGUUGGUGAGGUAAGAGCUCACCAAGUCGACGAUCAAUAGCUGGUUUGAGAGGAUGAUCAGCCACACUGGAACUGAGACACGGUCCAGACUCCUACGGGAGGCAGCAGUGAGGAAUAUUGGACAAUGGGCGAAAGCCUGAUCCAGCCAUGCCGCGUGAGUGACGACGGCCUUAGGGUUGUAAAGCUCUUUCAGAUGCGAAGAUAAUGACGGUAACAUCAGAAGAAGCUCCGGCUAAAUUCGUGCCAGCAGCCGCGGUAAUACGAAUGGAGCAAGCGUUGUUCGGAAUCACUGGGCGUAAAGCGUACGUAGGCUGAUUUUCAAGUCAGAAGUGAAAGCCCAGGGCUCAACCCUGGAACUGCUUUUGAAACUGGAAGUCUAGAGUCCCGGAGAGGUUAGGGGAAUUCCGAGUGUAGCAGUGAAAUGCGCAGAUAUUCGGAGGAACACCAGUGGCGUAGGCGCCUAACUGGACGGGAACUGACGCUGAGGUACGAAAGCGUGGGGAGCAAACAGGAUUAGAUACCCUGGUAGUCCACGCCGUAAACGAUGUAUGCUAGUUGUUGGUAUCCAUAGGAUAUCAGUGACGAAGUUAACGCGAUACAUACCGCCUGGGGAGUACGGUCGCAAGAUUAAAACUCAAAGGAAUUGACGGGGACCCGCACAAGCGGUGGAGCAUGUUGUUUAAUUCGAAGCAACGCGAAGAACCUUACCUACACUUGACAUACUCGUCGGGAUUUCCAGAGAUGGAUUUCUUCGGUUCGGCCGGACGAGAUACAGGUGCUGCAUGGCUGUCGUCAGCUCGUGUCGUGAGAUGUUAGGUUAAGUCCUGCAACGAGCGCAACCCUUACUAUCUGUUGCCAUCAGGUUAAGCUGGGCACUCUGACGGGACUGCCGGUGAUAAGCCGGAGGAAGGCGGGGACGACGUCAAGUCAUCAUGGCCCUUACGGGUAGGGCUACAAACGUGCUACAAUGGCAGUGACAAUGGGCAGCGAACCCGCGAGGGGAAGCUAAUCUCCAAAAACUGUCUCAGUUCGGAUUGUUCUCUGCAACUCGAGAGCAUGAAGUCGGAAUCGCUAGUAAUCGUGGAUCAGCAUGCCACGGUGAAUACGUUCCCGGGUCUUGUACACACCGCCCGUCACACCAUGGGAAUUGGUUCUACCCGAAGGUGGUUUGCUAACCGCAAGGAGGCAGCCGGCCACGGUAAGGUCAGUAACUGGGACGAAGUCGUAACAAGGUAGCCGUAAAUC
rnacentral:rRNA from 1 species